GGGGAAAUGUUGCCAGAGAGUCAACAGGGACUCCUGACUUGCACAGUUCUAGGUACUGGGGUAGGGUGGUGAACAGAGGCUGGCUCGGCUUCGUGUCCCGGUUUUGCUCUUGCCUGUGUUAUGUUGGGGAAAUCACGUUUCUGAGCCUCCGUUUCCUCAUCUAUAAAUGGGUUUAACAAUAAAUCUGGGUGAGGGUUGAAUGAAAUAAUGUUGACGAUAAUUGCUAACGUAGAUGGGAGCUGCCUUUGUGGCCAGCAUUGGGCUAAAUGUUACAUGCAUUAGCUCAUGCCCCACUUAUUAUAAUUACGUGCAAAUGGGAAACUGCAAAGCAUUGUGAUGGAGGAGAUGAUGUCUGAGUAGGGCCCUGAAGUGUGGCUAAGAGUCUGAACUGUGGAAAAGAGGGGGAGGGGAGCUUCAGGCAGAGGGCACAGCACAAGUGAAAGCGUGGAGGUGGGAAGGUGGGACAUGGGGGAGGGAGGGAGGACUGCGAUCCUGAAACUGAUUUGGCGCGAUGUGUGCGGGCAGCCGUGUGCCAGGCCCCGUGGCAGGUGCUGAGAAUUCGGUGAUGGAGGAGCCCUGGUCUCUGGGGUCCGGCGAGAGCCUUUACAAAGUGCUUUGCGUGAAUGUCUCCGGUGCGUUUCCACCGCCAGAGAGCCUGGGUUCGAGUCCCAGCUUGGAUUUGGGGUUCUCCCCUUGACAGCUGGCUGGCCUUGGACAAGCCACUGGGCCUUGCAGCCUCUGUGUCCUCAGUGGGGGUGAUACCUGUACCCACCUUCUAGGGCUGUUGCCGGGGCUCAGAGUGCGGCAGAUCCCCCUGCAGGGUGCUGGGCGUCAGCAGCCGGCAUUGUGCUUCACCAGCGGUGUGAGGCCGGGUGGGCUCCUCGGCUGCCCCGUGCUUCCGUGUCCCGCUCUGUCCUCGGGGGUGAUGAGGACCCUCCUCCUCGGGGCUGUCUUGAUGUCCCACGUGAAGCACGGAGCCGGCGCACUGUCAGGUGUCCAUUGUUACCGGGCCUUGGCAGGCUGGGGGCCGCUGGAUUACGGAGUGAGGCUUUUCCUUGUUCAUAACUGGCCCCAGGGAAGGGGUGGCCCAGCAGAGGGUCCCUGCGGGGCACCUGAGGCUGGCAGGGAGGAAGCCUCGAUGGUGGCAGCCACCUUCCCCAGGAGGAAGGACAGCACGGUGCACGUUCUCAUGGCCCUGGGACCCAGGCGCGGCCCCGGGUCGGGCAUCCCAUUCUGUGCUGAGGAAUCUCUGGGGCGGGUGUGGAGCUGCGCUGCUCAGUGUGGGCAGUGGCUCCCCACCGGGGCGGGGCGGGGGCCCUGGCUCAGGACCUCUGCCUCUGGCCUCUCACUCGGGGCUUCCUUCCUGUUCCUCCUUUGUGCCAGGUCCUGUCCCAGAUGUGGUGGGUACUGCCUGGGGGUAUGAGACAGGGCACAGGCCUUACCCACUGUGCAACCAGGGGAGGGGGGAGGUCCCACCCAGCCUGGGGACAUCCCGGGGGAAGGGAUGGUGCAGUGGAGAGUGAGAAGGGAGGGGUGUCCCUGACCCGGAGGGACCCCACGGGGAGGAAGGGCACCCAGGGGUCUGCAAGCACGCCGAGGAGCUUGAUCUUUGUCAUAAAGGCAGUGGGAACUGUGGAAAUUUUUGAGCAGGGGAGAUUCAGGGUGAGAGCUGUAACAAAAAGAUCCCCGUGGUUCCUGUGUGUGGGAAGGAUCAGAGGGAAACGGGAAGCCGAGGGGGUAGAAAUUUGGAGGCCGUGGCAGGGGUACGAUGGGAGGGGCCUGGUGUGGAGGUGGGCUGAGCUAUACUGGCCUCUCGACCAGCCCGUGGGCAGCUGGGACGCCCACCUCACCCUGAUGGCCUUGCUCUGGGGAGCAGGACACGGCUGGGGUGGGAAUCCUCUUGGCUCCAGAAGUCGGGUGAUCCUGGAUCAGUCCCUCGCCCUCGCUGGGUGCUGUCGCCCUUAUGGACAAGGACUGGCCUGGCCGGGGGCACCCAGCUGUCCUGUCCCCUCCUGGCUCUGGCUCUGGCUCUGCAGGCUUCCAGCUGCUAGUUCAGGCUCUUCUCACGGGUGGGCUGCCAGCCCUCCUCUCCUGCUGGCCGAUGGAGCCUGUCAUUAUCCGCCUUCCGCCAGCUUCGCCCCCUGAUUACAGGAGCCCCGUCGGCCACCCACAGGGCCAGUGCUGUGGGGCGCCCCAGGGGCUGGCAGUCUGGAAGGUGGGGGUGAGAUGCAUUUGCCCAAACUUUUGUUCCCUGUUAACACUCAGACUGUUCUGGGUCCAUAUAAUUUAUAAGCUGUGUGUCCUUGGAGGACUCACUUAGACUCUCUGAAUUUCAGUUUUCUACUAUGUGACGUGGGGACAGCACAUAGAGUAACUCGUGUAAUUGUAGCACCAUCCUGGGUCCAGAGGAGCUGCUGAGCGAGCGGCUGUUGCUGUUAUGCGUUAGUAAUAAUAAUAGGGGGUGUUGAGCAGAAAGGCCCCGGGCCGGGCACCGAGGGCUGGCAUGCCGACCCAGCUCUGUCAGGACAUGCUGUGUGACCCUGGGAGAGUGUCUCCACUGCUCUGGACCUCAGGCUUCCCUGGCUGUGCCAGGCAGAUGAUGGAGAUGGUGGUACUUCGGACAACUCUGUGACACAGGGAAGCUCAGUCCCUGCCCCCACUCUGCCUCUGCUGUCCCUUUGGCUCUGGGGUGGGUGGGGUUGGUAUCCCCAGUUGCCUCCCCCACCUUCCCGCCCCAGGCCUGAUCCCCUGGGCUCUGGGAACCAGGCAGGCAGGUUGUGGCCCUGCCCCACCCCACAGGGUGCUGCCCUCCUGGUUUCAGUUGGCAAAUCUCUCAGCCCUGACGCGGGGCUGGGCUCUUGGGUGAGGUGUGUCCCUGGAGCCCACUGGAGGGACCGGAUGAGCCGGGGGUGGGUCUGGCACAGCGCCCUCAGCUUGGGCCAGUCCAGGGCCGGGACCGGCCUGAAGCCCCCAUGGUUGGCACAGGGCUGAUGUGGUCUUGGCUGGAGAGCGUCCUCUCCGUCGUGGUGCCUUGUCAGUGUAGAGGGGGUCCCGGACCUGCGCUCAUAUCCUGCCUCCGCCGCUUCCCGGCUGAGGGACUUGGCCAUUCUCUGGGGCUCCGUCUCCUCACCUUAAACAUUCCUCCAGUUCAGACACCACCUGCCCCAGGGCUGAGUUGAGGAUUGGGGGGGAUGAUCGAGGUAAGAGGCUUUAGCGCAGGUAUGGCGUGAGCUGGGCUUGGGAGGGCCACGAGAAGGCGAAGCAUCUCCUUAGCUUGGCGCUGGAGGCUCUCGGAAUGUACCUUUCUGGGCCCUUUCUCUGAGGACCUCUGUACUCCUUCCUCCCAUCCUGAGCUCAGCAAGCCCCUUCUCAGUGGCCCCCAGAGUAACCAGGGAACUUCAGGCCACCUUGGGGCCUCCGCAGUUCUGGCCCAGCCCCCGCUCUCUGAGUGCAGGAAGUAGUGUGAUCCUUAACUUGUCAGUUUGGAAGAUCAGAGAUUAACAUUCUUCUGGCUGCCUUGCCUGCUGGUGGUGCUGGUCCUGGGGUUGGGCCGGGACAGGCCAGGGUUUGCUCCGCCUGUGUCAAGGGCCUCUCCCUGGGUUAGAGGAACCUUAGACAAGAGGCACCUUACAGGAGCCCCCAUUAGCAGCAUGCCUCCUCCUUGCCAGGGUGAAGUGCAUUAUGCUCUUAGCCCAUUGAUCUUAUAACCUGAUCAGGGCAGAUACUGUUGUGCUGUUUUGCAGAGGGGGAAACAGAGGCUCAGAGAGGGGAAGUGCCUUGGCCAAGGUCACACAGCUAGUUGGUAGCAGAGCUGGAACUUGAGCCCAGAGCCUGAAUGCCCAGUGGAGACGGUGCCGUGUUUGCAAGUGGGGGUGAUGCUGGGUCCUGCUGCACCGCCCGCCCCCAGUUCUUCUGUCCAGCCCGAGGGGGGCUGUGGUCAGCUUCCACUCAGAGCUGACUCACCAGCAGCUCAGAAAUGGUGCUGAGGGCUUCCCUGGUGGCACAGUGGUUGAGAAUCCGCCUGCCAAUGCAGAGGACACGGGUUCGAGCCCUGGUCCGGGAAGAUCCCACAUGACGCGGAGCAGCUAAGCCCAUGCCUUACAACUACUGAGCCCGCGUGCCGCAACUACUGAAGCCCGUGCGCCUAGAGCCCGUGCUCCACAACGAGAGAAACCACCGCAAUGAGAAGCCUGCACACUGCAACGAAGGGUAGCGCCCGCUCACCACAGCUAGAGAAAGCCUGCGUGCAGCAACAAAGACCCAACAUGGCCAAAAAUAAAUAAAUAAAAUAAAUAAAUUUACAAAAAAAAGAAAUGGUGCUGAGGCCAGCAUCCCAGUCAGCUCCUGGGGUGAGCCCAGCACUGAUCAGAUAAUCUUUGAGAUUUUAGAUCAGCUGAGCCAAUAGGGACCCACCCUCACAUUUUGCAAGUAGGAAGAUUGAGGUCCACAGAAGAUUGACAAAUGAGGACCCAGUAGGAGUGAAGUUUCCCUGCCAGCUCCGACCAGGUAGGGGCUGGAGAGCCCAGACUUCAGUCUAGGCUCUUAGUCACCAGCUGUGUGACCUUGGGAAAGUCAUUUUGCCUUUCUGAACCUCGGUUUCCUCAUCUGUAGAAUGGGGAUUGUAAAGCCUGUGUUGCCUGCCUCUAGGGAACAGGCAGAGAUCCGGCAACAAGGUGUAGGGCAGAGCCUUGGAAAUUGUGUUGGGAAUGAAGAGGCUUCAAGAGGUGGGGGAGUGUGUAGGCUCUGAUAUGAGACUAGGUUUGAAACCCACCUGUUUCCCCUUUUAUGCCAAGUGUCUUUUUUUUGGCUGUGCUGCACUUAUGGGAUUUUAGUUCCCCAACGAGGGAUUGAAGCGGGGCUCUCAGCAGUGAGAGUGUGGAGUCCUAACCACUGGACCGCCAGGGAAUUCCCUAGGCUAAGUGUCUUUCAGAAGAUCUCCAAGUUACCCUGAGCCUCAGUUUCCUUACCUAUAAAGUGGGGGUGACAAUCUAUCAGCAUUACCUGAGCUCUUGAACAGACACAAGUCCUCAGUGGAAAGAAAGGCACCCCAGUCAACUCUGGGAGUUAGUUCUGGGGGCAGAGUCAGGAAGACUGGCUGGUAAGGAGGCCCCUCUGGGUCACCCUCGAUGGUCCCAAAGAGUACAGGCUUUGGAGACAUGGUUCCGGUCAUCUGGGGGGCAGAGCCAUCCUAAGAACCAGAGAUACAGAUGUAAGAUCCCUUAUUAAACCAGCUCGCCAAAAGACGCCAAAAGAGCCCCUGGGGCGGCGGGCAGGGGGAGAGAGGUUGAGAGAGCCAGAGAGAGUGAGAGAGAAUGAGUGUGUGUGUGUGUGUGUGUGUGUGUGUGUGUGUGUGUAUUUCUCCCUGGCCUCCGUGUCCUGGGCGUGUGUGCGUGUGUGUAUUUCUCCCUGGCCUCCAUGUCCUGGGCGUGUGUGUGUGUGUGUGUGUGUGUGUGUAUAUGUCUGCGUGUAUUUCUCCCUGGCCUCCGUGUCCUGGGCGUGUGUGUGUGUGUGUCCCUGCGUGUAUUUCUCCCUGGCCUCCGUGUCCUGGGCGUGUGUGUGCGCAUGUGCCUGCGUGUAUGUCUCCCUGGCCUCCGUGUCCUGGGCGUGUGUGUGUGUGUGUGUGUGUGUGUGUGUGUGUGUGUGUGUGUGUCUGUCUGCGUGUAUGUCUCCCUGGCCUCCGUGUCCUGGGCGUGUGUGUGUGUGUGUCUGCGUGUAUGUCUCCCUGGCCUCCGUGUCCUGGGCGUUGGCCUCUUCAAGUCUGAGUGGAGCCGCUGCCUUCGUGCUGUGGAUGUGGCAUGGAGGUGGAGGCCUGGGUGGGCAGUGGCUCCCUGAGGUCGCGGAGCACAGUGGUGGCCGCACCCACACUCCCAGAAUUCGCGUGCCGUCCUCUUGGUUUCCUAAGGGUAUCAGGACCCCCGCAGGCAGUCGCAUGGCAGCCCGCGUCGGUGCCCAGGCGCUUCUGCUGGCUGAUGGGUGAGAUGGCCUUUCGUGAGCCAUUAAUCUUUCUGGACCUUGGUUUAUACACCUGUAAACGGAGGGUUUAUUUACCUGUGUUCACCUCGGGGCCCUUUGAAGACUCUGCGUGUGUCUGUGUGUCGGGCCCUGCGUCUGAGUGGGAUGAGCUGACCUCCUAAUUCUGCAGGAUAUGCUGGCAAAGGGGCACAAGAGGGCCCAGUGAUUGGUUCUGGGCUCUCGCAGAGGCUGAAGAUUAUGCCAAGGGAGCCCACCAGGGUCAGGUGGGAACCUGGGUUCCUGCAUGGUCCUUGCACCUGUCCAGGUGUUCCCACCCCCUUACCCUUGCCUGUGCAGUUCCUUCCUCCUAGGGAGCGCUCCCUUUUUCAGGUCUUUGUUGAAGACCUGCCGAUCCUUAUCAUUAUUAUUAUUUUGCGAUUCUCUUCCUGCUUCUUUUUUAAAAAAGUCUUUAUUGGAUUUUUUCAAACUAUGAAAGUUAUGCCUGCUAAUAAAACUUUCAAACAGUCCUUACUGUUGUUACGAGCUGAGCACGAUGGUUAUGAUUAGUAGUAACAUUUAUGGAGGUCCUGAACUGGACCCAUCUGUUAUGCCCAUUUUACAGAUGGGGAACUUGAGGUUCUGAGAGAGCUAGGCAGCUUGUGGGGCUGGGUCUUCAGAACUGGGAUUCUGAACUCACAGGGCCUGGGGCUGGAGGGCAUGCUCCAUCAGUACCCCCUACCUUCUUAUCCUAGAGCAUCUGGGUCUGAGUGCAGGAAAGGAGGGAGGAUGUGUGAGAAAGCGUGGAGGGUGGGUGAGGCCGGCACUCAUCCUCAGACUGCUCCAGCCCAGCCCCUCUCCGUAGCUCCCAGCAGCAACUGCAUCGCUACAACUAGCCAGGGCCUCCCAGUUCCCGGGCCAGGGACCCCUGCAGUCGGCCCUGCCUCUGGAGAGGGGCCACAACCUACUUCUCUGCCCGCUGCGAGGAGGGAUGUCCUGUGGGGCCCUGUGGACAGUGGUCAGAGCCGGGACCAGGAGGGGGUCAGCAGGCUGUGGCUAGAACCCUGACUGCCUCGGUCUGGCUCUGCGGCCUCAGGUGAGCCCCUCACCCUCUCUGGCUCACAGUCCCCUUUGGGCUGAUGAGGCCCCGAAUCCCUGGCAUGUGGUGUCUCCCGAAGCUUGGGAAGAGGAAGGAAGAGCUGGUACAGGUAGGUGUGGAGGAGAGAGGGGCGCCUGAGGCCUCGGGGACUACCCGUGGACACCCAGGCAGGGACGCGUGGUGGGAUUCGAGUCAUUAAACCCCUCUGGCAGCUCCAGGGAGAUCGCCGCUGCAGGGUGGCGAGGAGGGAGAGAGUGGGGUGCUGAGCAGGCCUUGCAGGGAGAGGGCUGCCUGGGCCGUGGCCCCCGAGCUCAGCAGGCAGGAGGUGCCUCUCCGGGGCUGCAGUGCCGCCUGCACCCUCCUCCGCAGCGUCCGGCCAGAGAGGCUGCUGGGGGACUCUGUUCGGGGCUCCUCCUCUGGGAGCCCUUUGUUCCUGGAGGGGACUGGACCCCCUCCCCUCCCUGCCUCUCUGAGGUCUUUCCAGCCCUGACACCUAGGCCCCCCCCCCCCGCGCAGCCCCCCGAGUCCUCAUCCUCUGCCUUCCUGUGGCACCUCCUCUGUACCAGCACGUGGCAGUUCCUCCCAAGUUGUCUUAGGACAUCUCUUAAGAAUGUGCUCCUGGCUGCCAAGAAGCCAUCCCGCGGCCCUCUUCUGUCACGGUCUUCCCUUUCCAGCGCUCCCUCUGUUGCCAAACCCGAGCUGAGCUACCCAGUUCCCUGGCGCUGCCGGGACCCUCCUCCUGUGGCCCCUAACCUCUCACCCAGCGGGCGGGUGGCGGCGUCCGCAGCCCCUGGGGCGUGGCGUGGGGUGGGCACUCAGUCCUUAGAGACCAGCCUCCCUCCCUAUCCCAAUCCAUUCGGCUCCCAGCUUGGAGAGCAGAUUGGGGUACUGAGAGACCCCACACUGUCUGAUCUGUUUGGUUCUGGAAUCUCCGGUAGCAAAGAGUUUAUCUGGAAGCAGGUCCAGGUCUAGACGGUUCUCGAGUUUGGGUAGCAAGGCAUGCCUGUGGUGGCGCUUGGGUGAGAUCAGGGCUGCUGCAGCCUGUUUGGGGGCGCAGCGCCCAUGGGGCUGUCUUCUCGUUUCCUACUCCUUUGAGCGAGGCAACCCAUAUUUCUGUCCCCUGUCCCCUCUCCCCCCUCUGCCGGGUGACUUCUCCUCUCCCACUCCUCGUGCCCUCUACUCCUGGACCCUGGUCCCACAGCAUCACUUGGAUAAACUCUUCUGCGUCCCGACGUGAGAGGCCAAGAAUGAAUUUCCUUCUUGCCUCCUACUCUGCCCCUGUCAGCCUGGAUGCGUCAGGCCUGUCAGGCUCACCUUCGUUUUGUGUCUCCGUCUGGGUCACCUUGUUCCCUUUUUCACUUCCUCGGCCUCCCCUGGCUUCCUCUUCAACCCACAGUCCCACCCAACGUGGGCCUCGGUGUGCCUCUCGAUGGGGCGAUGCCUGGGCCUUCUGGCUGGGCCCUUCCCUGCCAGGACGUGAUGCCUGGGCUUAGCUGACCCGGCAGCUGAGAACAUGCUGGGAGUCAGACAGACCUGGGUUUGAGUCCCGACACAGGAUGGUGGCUUCCUCCUGGGCCUGGCUUCCCACGCAUCAGGGCACAUUCUAGCCCUUCUGGAAAUAAUGCUGUGUCUGAGGCUGGGUGCAUCAGGGCUGAGUCAGGCAUCCUAGAGCUGUUGCCGAAGGACCCUUGAGAUCCGAGGGCCAAGCCUACCCAUGCUGCGUGCUGGGAGAGUGCCCAUUGGCUGUCCGGCUGUUUGAGGCAGAGCUGGGGCAAAACCCUGGGCUGGAGGCUGAGAACCUGGCUCUCCAAUGCUGGGUCUGCAAGCCUCCUCAUCCUUAACGUGGGAAAACAGUAACACUGACUCCCUAGGGUUUUUGUGAAGAUUCUUUGAGAUCCUGCAUGUGAAACUUGCCCACCCACUGGCUUGGGUUAGCACUCAAUAAAAGGGAGCGAUUAUGAUGACGAUGACAUGUUUUAUCAGUAUUGUUGUUGUCUACGGUCCUGUUUUCUCUGUUUGGCUCCAGCGCGUUACCUCGUCUUCCCCCACCCCCAGCCCGCCUCAUCAUUUUUCAAAACAAUUCCCGUGGUGUUUGAGAGAGUUCUGGUUGUUUAUAGUUUUUAAAAAAUAGGCAUUCAAAGCAAAUUCCUCAUUUGUUCUCCCCUUCCUCCCCCCCAGACAGAAUCUGAACAGACACGAGCUCAUUCCAGGAAAGGGGAGCACAGGCCUGUGGAGACGGACCCAUGGGCUGAGCCGCCUCUGGAAGGAGUGGAGGGAGUGGGCCUGCCCGAGACCCUAGGUGUGGGAUGUGGCACCUGCUCUCAGGCUUCCUCCCCAGCCACCACCUCCUGGCUGGGCCCCAGGACUGCAUUCCAGUUAUGCCACUCGCUAGCUGUGUGACCUUGUGCCAGUGACUUAACCUCUCUGAGCCUCGGUGUCCUCUGUAACUGGGGAUAACACCAGCCGUACCCCGUAGAGCUAUUGAGAGGAUUAAAUGAAAUGCUGUCCUAGCUGGGUGCCCUCGGUAUCCAGAGGCCAGCCAUGGGAGGGACGGCGUCACUUCAGCCCCUUCUCCUCUGAGAAAGGAACAGGUCUUUGGAACCUGGAAUCCAAGACUGUCCGAGGUGGUAGGGCCUGUCCAUUAUUGAGUCUGGUCCUCACGGUGUGCAGGGGGAAACUGAGGCCCAAAGAGGGGAGCCGCACAGUGGGUCAGCACGAACCCUGGGGCAGGACUCGAGCUACAGCUACUCAGGACCGGGAAGCCUUGCCCAAGGAGAAGGCGCCCUCGGCAUGGGUUACAGCCCUCUCUGGACCUCAGUUUCUUCGUCUGUGAAUGGGGACACCCAGGCAGCAUGUGCUGGGCUUGCUCUGGUGCCCCAGUACUCGCCUUCUCCGUCCAGAAACUGCUUUAGCCGAAGAGAGAAGCAAAGAGCCAGUGAAAGCAAAGGGGUUGUUAACUUGGUAGAUGAGUUGAUUUUAGAAUGUUUAUUUUUUUAUUGUGAAAAGAAUCAUGCUCAUAAAAUAGUUCAAAUGCUAUACAAGUGAAUAAAGCAGAAACUGAAAUUUGCUCUCUGCUUUUCAUUCCCACACCCAGGUGCGCCGCCCUUAACAGCCUGGAGUACUGCCUUCCGGACCUCUUUCUGGAGGUCUCCAAGCAUAAAUCACUCAUAGGCACAUGCAGGAAUAAUUUUAAAUGAGAUGAUAUGCAGUGUGGGAUUCCGUAGCACUGUUUUCUUUACGUGGCCGAGUACGGACACCUUCCCUUUGUUGGUACCUGUACCCAGGUCCCCUAAAUCUUCUGAACGUCCUGGGUGAACUGCUAGGUAUUGAAUCAUUCCCCAUGUGCACAAUUGGCUUGUUUGUGGUGAUUUCUGGUGCGUAGAUGCCUGCUGUCCUUGUGUGAGUUCUGUGGGCUGGAUUCCUACAGGAGCAAGUACAACAUCAAAGGGCACCCAUGCACCCUUGGAACUGCAUGCAGCUGUGGUGGUCCCCCUCCAAAAAGGCCGUCCCAACUUCCCACUCCCCCAGUUCUGGUUAAGGUGCCUGUUCUCGUCCCGGCUGGUCCUGGCUGGUCUGACAGGUUGGUUCCGCUUGCGUUUGUUCGCUGGCUGGUGAGGCCGAGCGUCUUUUCAUGUGUCUGUUGGUUUCUCGUGUCUUUGGUGGUUUCUCUGUCAGGGUCAUUGCCCUUUUC